AGAAUAUCAAAACUGGCCUUAUCAUGUGGUGUUUGUCUUCAACACUCUCAUCUUGCUUGUGAGUGGAAUAAUUAAUAUACUGCUAUGUAAAAGACUGAGAAGACAGAGUGAAAUGCAUGCAGAAGUUUCAGACCCUUCUUCACCAGACAUAACAGAACCUGAUGUCAGUUCUUCUCAUAAUCAAGAUAGUCCGAACCCAAACUACACAACCCUACAAUUCCCUGAAAACAAUGCCAGUGGAGAGAGUUCGGGGAUUGAGCCAAGAAUGACGAGAAAGGAUACAAUUUAUUCCAGCCUUAAAUGUCAAAUGUCAGACAUCACUGA